GGGCGGUUGGCUCAGGGGCUAGAGCGCUUCCCUCACACGGAAGAGGCCACAGGUUCAAAUCCUGUACCGCCCA
rnacentral:tRNA from 1 species